GCCUCCAGCCCGGAUGGGCUGGGCUCCGAGCCUCCGCUGGCUCGCCGCGCGGCAAGGGUGAAACGGCGGGGUAAGAGCCCACCGCGCCCUUGGCAACAAGGGCGGCACGGCAAACCCCACCUGGAGCAAGGCCGCGUAGGGAGGCGUCUGCGACGGCGACAGCCGCCGCGGCAAGGGCUGCCCGCCCCAGGCCUCCGGGU
rnacentral:misc_RNA from 1 species